UGUGCAUCAGCCCGUCAGACCGACAACAUGAGCUUUACAUUCAAGUCAGCGUUCCAGUCGAGCUUCCAGACCAUCUCCAGCUUCAGCGUCCCUUAUGUGAGUCGUAUCUCUGGAGGACUAAAAGCUGGGAAAGCCAUCGUCAUUCAGGGAUCUGUUCCCUCUGGAUGUGAGAGCUUUGUGGUGAAUCUGAAGGAGACGACAUCGCCUUUCAAAUCAGGCCCCAGUUCAGCAGCGACUGCAUGGUCCUGAACAGCCACCAACAUGGACUCUUCCUUAUGUGACCCCAAUUCCAGGAGGACUGAGAGAAGGCAUGGCUUUGUAUGUGCAGGGAAUCAUUCCUACUAAUGCUGACCGAUUUUACAUACAUUUCAAGACUGGGCCAACUGACAAGAAUGACAUUGCUUUCCACUUCAAUGCCUCCAUCAGCUUCCUUGGUUUUGUCACGGGAAUGUGAAUAGGAGCAUUAUUGUAGUACUCCCACAAUAUUAAAGCACUCUCAGAGAACAAUGUGAAAAUCAUGCAAGUCCUCAUCCUGAUAUUCACACAUUUACAUUUAUUCCUUUAGCAGAUGCUUUUAUCCAAAGCGACUUACAACUGAAUCACCGAGUAUAUCACUGAUUUCAAUCUAAUCCAUUACCACAAAUCAAGGUUACUGCUUUUAUGGCAACUAAACAAAACAGCAAAUAAAUUAAUAAAACCAGCCUUUGUAAACCACACUGCUCUACG